CGCAGGUCCAAGGGGAGACCAAGGGUCCGGACUCGGAGUUGCUGCUGCGAGUCUCACCUUCGACCCGGAGGAGCCCGGCCGGCGGCAAAGGGUGAGGACCUGGGGGGGUCUCCUCAGACGCUGGAAUCUGAGGCCCAGGCUCCUCUUCUGGGGCGGAAGGACGAGAUUUCCUGGAGUCGAGGUUCCGGUCUUACCCUAACAGCGGCUUUCGUGUCCAGUGGAGAUUCAGGGGCGAGAAAUUCUGAACAAAAUCAGAAUAAACUGGAAAAAGGCCAAUUAAAAUUCUUAAUAAAAUAGUACCGGAAUACAACACUGCUUGGAAUUCAGGUCUUGAACCGUUAACACGAAAGCUCAGAGGCAGUCACCCUGGCUGCUCAGGGACAUCAGAGCCCUUCAAGACUCGGGUGCUGCCACGUCCGUGUGGCCCUCGCGGUUCCGGGGCAGCGCGUGGGUCCGACGCAGAACAGGAGUGAGUAAAAACUGCUGAGCGCCGCCCCAAAGACGAGGUUCCACCGAGACUCGAACUCGGAUUCACGCUGGAUUCAGAGUCCAGAGUGCUCGCCAUCACACCAUGGAACCACCGGGGACCCUUCAGCUGGGAUCACUGAAUUCAGAGGCCAGAGUGCUCACCAUAACGCAGACCCUCCCGCAGCCCGUCCCUGCCAGCAGUUGAGCCAGGCGCGCGCAGCCCCGCCGGCCCAGGACCCGCUUCCCGCCGGGCGCGCUCCUCAGCCGCGCGCAGCCCGCGUCCUCCGCGACGCCAGGGGGCGCCGGCCUUGCCUGCCCUCGGCCUCCCUGCAGGUUAGUACGUCCAGGAGGACAUGAAAUCCACUGGGGUCAGCGACAGGGCAGGGCUUUCAGGCCUCCCCCAAGUCCACCUGCUCUGCCAGCAUUUGUGGAGUGUUCUACGCUGAGGAGUUCUACUUCAGCGCAGGAAACUCUACAAAUGCUGGCAGAACAGAGGGUUUGGGGUGGGCCCUGCCCUGUCGCUGACCUCAACGGAUUUUAUCGUCCUCUGGUACAAACCUGCCCGGAGGCCGCGGGCAGGCGAGUCCGGAGCCUCCUGGCGUCGAGGCGGAAGCGGGCUGGGGGCUGCGGGGUGAGGAGCGCGCCCGGCGGGAGGCGGGGCCUGGGCCGGCGGGGCUGCGCGCGGCCUGGCCCAGCGGCUGCAAGGUAAAGGCCGGUGGGCGGUUCCAUGGUGUA
rnacentral:tRNA from 1 species